rnacentral:rRNA from 1 species
CAGUCGAGCGGUAACAUUUCAAAAGCUUGCUUUUGAAGAUGACGAGCGGCGGACGGGUGAGUAAUGCCUGGGAAUUUGCCCAUUUGUGGGGGAUAACAGUUGGAAACGACUGCUAAUACCGCAUACGCCCUACGGGGGAAAGCAGGGGACCUUCGGGCCUUGCGCUGAUGGAUAAGCCCAGGUGGGAUUAGCUAGUAGGUGAGGUAAAGGCUCACCUAGGCGACGAUCCCUAGCUGGUCUGAGAGGAUGAUCAGCCACACUGGGACUGAGACACGGCCCAGACUCCUACGGGAGGCAGCAGUGGGGAAUAUUGCACAAUGGGGGAAACCCUGAUGCAGCCAUGCCGCGUGUGUGAAGAAGGCCUUCGGGUUGUAAAGCACUUUCAGCGAGGAGGAAAGGGUGUAAGUUAAUACCUUACAUCUGUGACGUUACUCGCAGAAGAAGCACCGGCUAACUCCGUGCCAGCCGC